AUUGAACGCUGGCGGCAGGCCUAACACAUGCAAGUCGAGCGGAUGAAGGGAGCUUGCUCCUGGAUUCAGCGGCGGACGGGUGAGUAAUGCCUAGGAAUCUGCCUGGUAGUGGGGGGUAACGUCCGGAAACGGGCGCUAAUACCGCAUACGUCCUGAGGGAGAAAGUGGGGGAUCUUCGGACCUCACGCUAUCAGAUGAGCCUAGGUCGGAUUAGCUAGUUGGUGGGGUAAAGGCCUACCAAGGCGACGAUCCGUAACUGGUCUGAGAGGAUGAUCAGUCACACUGGAACUGAGACACGGUCCAGACUCCUACGGGAGGCAGCAGUGGGGAAUAUUGGACAAUGGGCGAAAGCCUGAUCCAGCCAUGCCGCGUGUGUGAAGAAGGUCUUCGGAUUGUAAAGCACUUUAAGUUGGGAGGAAGGGCAGUAAGUUAAUACCUUGCUGUUUUGACGUUACCAACAGAAUAAGCACCGGCUAACUUCGU
rnacentral:rRNA from 1 species